rnacentral:rRNA from 1 species
AUUGAACGCUGGCGGCAUGCCUUACACAUGCAAGUCGAACGGCAGCACGGGUGCUUGCACCUGGUGGCGAGUGGCGAACGGGUGAGUAAUACAUCGGAACAUGUCCUGUAGUGGGGGAUAGCCCGGCGAAAGCCGGAUUAAUACCGCAUACGAUCUACGGAUGAAAGCGGGGGACCUUCGGGCCUCGCGCUAUAGGGUUGGCCGAUAGCUGAUUAGCUAGUUGGUGGGGUAAAGGCCUACCAAGGCGACGAUCAGUAGCUGGUCUGAGAGGACGACCAGCCACACUGGGACUGAGACACGGCCCAGACUCCCACGGGAGGCAGCAGUGGGGAAUUUUGGACAAUGGGCGAAAGCCUGAUCCAGCAAUGCCGCGUGUGUGAAGAAGGCCUUCGGGUUGUAAAGCACUUUUGUCCGGAAAGAAAUCCUUGGCUCUAAUACAGUCGGGGGAUGACGGUACCGGAAGAAUAAGCACCGGCUAACUACGUG